rnacentral:rRNA from 1 species
GCUUAAUAUUAAAAUAUUAUUAGGUCAAAUUUUUCACUAUAAAGGGCUAAUAAUUAAAUUUAUUUUGUUGGGGCGACAAGAGUAAAAUGACUAUUAACUGCUUAUUUUUAAACACACUUAUUAGUGAUUGGGUAUUUAAAUGAUCCUAAGUAGAGAUUAAGAGUUUAAGUU